rnacentral:rRNA from 1 species
GAUGCAGCCAUGCCGCGUGUAUGGAAGUAAGGCCUUCGGGUUGUAAAGUACUUUCAGCAGUGAGGAAGUGGGUAUGUUAAUAGCAUACUCAUUUGACGUUUAGCUGCAGAAGAAGCACCGGCUAACUCCGUGCCAGCAGCCGCGGUAAUACGGAGGGUGCGAGCGUUAAUCGGAAUUACUGGGCGUAAAGCGCAUGCAGGUGGUUGUUAAGUCAGAUGUGAAAGCCCGGGGCUCAACCUCGGAAUUGCAUUUGAAACUGGCAAACUAGAGUACUGUAGAGGGGGUAGAAUUUCAGGUGUAGCGGUGAAAUGCGUAGAGAUCUGAAGGAAUACCGGUGGCGAAGGCGGCCCCCUGGACAGAUACUGACACUCAGAUGCGAAAGCGUGGGGAGCAAACAGGAUUAGAUACCCUGGUAG